AAGUCGUAACAAGGUAUCUGUAGGUGAACCUGCAGAUGGAUCAUUUAAGAGUUAGGGCGCUCGCAAGAGGCCUGCCACUCAUUACACACACUGUGCACUUAGAAUUGAGGAAGCUUUAAUGAAGGACUUCAUUGUCCUUUGUUAUCGCCCCUGUCCAAAAACACUUGUAUAUAUAAAGAUGAUGAUGUCAAUGUAAUUGAAAAACGAAAGUAAAACUUUCAGCAACGGAUCUCUUGGCUCUC
rnacentral:misc_RNA from 1 species